AUUGAACGCUGGCGGCAUGCCUUACACAUGCAAGUCGAACGGCAGCACGGGUGCUUGCACCUGGUGGCGAGUGGCGAGCGGGUGAGUAAUGCAUCGGAACGUACCUUAUCGUGGGGGAUAACGCAGCGAAAGCUGUGCUAAUACCGCAUACGCCCUGAGGGGGAAAGCGGGGGAUCGCAAGACCUCGCGCGAUUAGAGCGGCCGAUGCCUGAUUAGCUAGUUGGUGGGGUAAAAGCCCACCAAGGCGACGAUCAGUAGCUGGUCUGAGAGGACGAUCAGCCACACUGGGACUGAGACACGGCCCAGACUCCUACGGGAGGCAGCAGUGGGGAAUUUUGGACAAUGGGGGCAACCCUGAUCCAGCAAUGCCGCGUGAGUGAAGAAGGCCUUCGGGUUGUAAAGCUCUUUUGUCAGGGAAGAAACACCGGCUCUAACACAGUCCGGGAAUGACGGUACCUGAAGAAUAAGCACCGGCUAACUACGUGCCAGCCGCCGCAGUAA
rnacentral:rRNA from 1 species